UACGGAGGGUGCAAGCGUUAUCCGGAUUCACUGGGUUUAAAGGGUGCGUAGGUGGGUCUGUAAGUCCGUGGUGAAAUCUCCGAGCUUAACUUGGAAACUGCCAUGGAUACUAUAGGUCUUGAAUUUUCUGGAGGUUAGCGGAAUAUGUCAUGUAGCGGUGAAAUGCUUAGAUAUGACAUAGAACACCAAUUGCGAAGGCAGCUAACUACAGGGAUAUUGACACUGAGGCACGAAAGCGUGGGGAUCAAACAGG
rnacentral:rRNA from 1 species